AGCAGAUGGUCACAGGGUUACCUGCCCGCCGAGAUCCCUGUGAUGACUAAAUUCGGCAGGCUACGCUCGUAGAGUUCCGAGGGUCGAAUCUUUCGGACCCGGGUUCAAUUCCCGGCAUCUCCACAC
rnacentral:tmRNA from 1 species